rnacentral:lncRNA from 1 species
UGAUCUACAUAACUUUCCUAUGUAUACAAUAGGAAGAGUUAAUUCAAGACCAGUGCAUAUACCAGUAAAGAUGUCAUCUGGACAAUUUGUGUGAAAAUAGAGAAUAAUUCUCAUCCAAACCGCCUGUCUCUGGAAAUAAGAAAAACUCUGAGGGUCUCCAGAGUUACCAGAGGAAGGCUGAAUUUUAUGGUGAUUGAGAAUAUUUCCAAGCCUAUGAAGUAGAAAAUAUCAUGAGUCUUUUCCAUGAUAGGAAAGAGUAAAACCUGUAACAACAACAAAAAGAAGUGAUACAGUGGAUGGGAUGAUGAGACCCUUGAAAAAAGCAAGGAUGGACCAGAAACUGGUAACC